GACGAACGCUGGCGGCGUGCUUAACACAUGCAAGUCGAACGGAAAGGCCCUGCUUUUGUGGGGUGCUCGAGUGGCGAACGGGUGAGUAACACGUGAGUAACCUGCCCUUGACUUUGGGAUAACUUCAGGAAACUGGGGCUAAUACCGGAUAGGAGCUCCUGCUGCAUGGUGGGGGUUGGAAAGUUUCGGCGGUUGGGGAUGGACUCGCGGCUUAUCGGCUUGUUGGUGGGGUAGUGGCUUACCAAGGCUUUGACGGGUAGCCGGCCUGAGAGGGUGACCGGCCACAUUGGGACUGAGAUACGUCCCAGACUCCUACGGGAGGCAGCAGUGGGGAAUAUUGCACAAUGGGCGGAAGCCUGAUGCAGCAACGCCGCGUGCGGGAUGACGGCCUUCGGGUUGUAAACCGCUUUCGCCUGUGACGAAGCGUGAGUGACGGUAAUGGGUAAAGAAGCACCGGCUAACUACGUG
rnacentral:rRNA from 1 species